UACACCGCCGACGAAAUGAGAUGAGUUUACGGCGAAAUGAGAUGGCUUUGAAAUGCUAAUUACUAAAACAAUACAUUGUGUUCCUUCUUUGGCUUUCCUUUUGAAUGUCUUACUUGCUCCAACUCAAAGUUCAACCACCGAGAAGACAAGGAUCCAUUGUAACUCAUCUACUCCUAUUUCGAGUCCCCAACCACCUCCAGAAGUCUCAACCACUUGUAAGCAAAUCCUUUUAAAGAUCACCACGAUGUGCCUCUCUUCCUCCCAAUUCUAAGCAUGGCUUCCUCUUCCUCGGUUUCGUGGAUGGCCGCGGAGAAGGUUUCGUGGUACUCUACCCUCAUCUUGAUGCUCCUCCUCGUUCUGAAUUGUUGCGAGCCUGAGGAGCAGCUGCCUAACGAUACAACAUUGGCUAGAAGGAGUCGGUUGAUGAACGGCCAACCUUGCGACGAGAUCUAUGUGGUCAGGGAAGGUCUCGUCAUCAAGAUCACUUCUUUCGGAGGGAACUAAUUUGAACUAUGUAUCUGUGUUUGUGGAAUUCAAUUACUUAAGGCAUGAGAAGUUUGUCUCGAUAUUAUUGUCUCGAUUUGCAAAGGUACAAGAAGUUAUUUCUCAAGAAAACUUAAGAAUA